CCUUGAAGCCUUGAGAAGCCAUCUUCUCUUACCCUCUCAGACAAUGAAUAGCGCCUUGUCUGCCAGAACCUGCAAAUUAUGCACAUUGUGAAGAUUUACUGAGGGGCUAAUAGUAUAGAACAAGGUAAAAACAUCACCAAGAGGAGAAACAUCAACUCACAUAAAACGGAUUCACAACCAAAUGAAUCACCAUGUUAUUUUAAACCAGAACGAAAUGCAACACUAGACCAUGCAUUCUAACCAGCCAAUCUUCUGCAUCAUCGAAACCAUCAAACAUAUGUUCAAUCCGAACAGCUAAG
rnacentral:lncRNA from 1 species